CUACCUAGCAAAAGUUGGUUUAGGGGGAAAGUUUAUAGUAGACUUUGCCAGCUGAAGUUGUAGGGGCGUGAAGAUCACACUCCACAGUGAACUGUGCUGUUAUAUAUAGGUCAUUACUCCUGUGGCCUAGAAG
ensembl:snoRNA